AAUGAACGUUGGCGGCGUGGAUUAGGCAUGCAAGUCGAGCGAAAAGGGUUCUGGUGCUUGCAUUGGAACCCCCAAAGCGGCGAAAGGGAGAGUAACGCGUAGUUACGUGCCCCAGGGUUCGGAAUAGCCACGGGAAACUGUGGGUAAUACCGAAUAACAUCUCCGGAUCAAAGGUGUGAUUCCGCCCUGGGAGCGGACUGCGUCCUACUAGCUAGUUGGCGGGGUAAUGGCCCACCAAGGCAACAAUGGGUAGCGGGUGUGAGAGCAUGACCCGUCUCACUGGGACUGAGACACUGCCCAGACACCUACGGGUGGCUGCAGUCGAGAAUCUUCGGCAAUGGGCGAAAGCCUGACCGAGCGACGCCGCGUGCGGGAUGAAGGCCCUCGGGUUGUAAACCGCUGUCGUAGGGGAGGAAGGCUCCGUGAAGAACGGGGUUUGACCUAUCCUAGGAGGAAGUACGGGCUAAGUUCGUGC
rnacentral:rRNA from 1 species